rnacentral:rRNA from 1 species
UUAAGCGACUAAGCGUACACGGUGGAUGCCCUGGCAGUCAGAGGCGAUGAAGGACGUGCUAAUCUGCGAAAAGCGUCGGUAAGGUGAUAUGAACCGUUAUAACCGGCGAUGUCCGAAUGGGGAAACCCAGUGNCACUAUCGUUAACUGAAUACAUAGGUUAACGAGGCGAACCGGGGGAACUGAAACAUCUAAGUACCCCGAGGAAAAGAAAUCAACCGAGAUUCCCCCAGUAGCGGCGAGCGAACGGGGAGCAGCCCAGAGUCUGAAUCAGCUUGUGUGUUAGUGGAACGGUCUGGAAAGUCCGACGGUACAGGGUGAUAGUCCCGUACACCAAAAUGCACAGGCUGUGAACUCGAAGAGUAGGGCGGGACACGUGGUAUCCUGUCUGAAUAUGGGGGGACCAUCCUCCAAGGCUAAAUACUCCUGACUGACCGAUAGUGAACCAGUACCGUGAGGGAAAGGCGAAAAGAACCCCGGCGAGGGGAGUGAAAAAGAACCUGAAACCGUGUACGUACAAGCAGUGGGAGCACCUUCGGGUGUGACUGCGUACCUUUUGUAUAAUGGGUCAGCGACUUAUAUUCUGUAGCAAGGUUAACCGUAUAGGGGAGCCGCAGGGAAACCGAGUCUUAACUGGGCGUUAAGUUGCAGGGUAUAGACCCGAAACCCGGUGAUCUAGCCAUGGGCAGGUUGAAGGUUGGGUAACACUAACUGGAGGACCGAACCGACUAAUGUUGAAAAAUUAGCGGAUGACUUGUGGCUGGGGGUGAAAGGCCAAUCAAACCGGGAGAUAGCUGGUUCUCCCCGAAAGCUAUUUAGGUAGCGCCUCGUGAAUUCAUCUUCGGGGGUAGAGCACUGUUUCGGCUAGGGGGUCAUCCCGACUUACCAACCCGAUGCAAACUACGAAUACCGAAGAAUGUUAUCACGGGAGACACACGGCGGGUGCUAACGUCCGUCGUGAAGAGGGAAACAACCCAGACCGCCAGCUAAGGUCCCAAAGUCAUGGUUAAGUGGGAAACGAUGUGGGAAGGCACAGACAGCCAGGAUGUUGGCUUAGAAGCAGCCAUCAUUUAAAGAAAGCGUAAUAGCUCACUGGUCGAGUCGGCCUGCGCGGAAGAUGUAACGGGGCUAAACCAUGCACCGAAGCUGCGGCAGCGACACUAUGUGUUGUUGGGUAGGGGAGCGUUCUGUAAGCCUGCGAAGGUGACCUGUGAGGGUUGCUGGAGGUAUCAGAAGUGCGAAUGCUGACAUAAGUAACGAUAAAGCGGGUGAAAAGCCCGCUCGCCGGAAGACCAAGGGUUCCUGUCCAACGUUAAUCGGGGCAGGGUGAGUCGACCCCUAAGGCGAGGCCGAAAGGCGUAGUCGAUGGGAAACAGGUUAAUAUUCCUGUACUUGGUGUUACUGCGAAGGGGGGACGGAGAAGGCUAUGUUAGCCGGGCGACGGUUGUCCCGGUUUAAGCAUGUAGGCUGGUUGUCCAGGCAAAUCCGGAUAAUCAAGGCUGAGGUGUGAUGACGAGGCACUACGGUGCUGAAGUAACAAAUGCCCUGCUUCCAGGAAAAGCCUCUAAGCAUCAGGUAACAUCAAAUCGUACCCCAAACCGACACAGGUGGUCAGGUAGAGAAUACCAAGGCGCUUGAGAGAACUCGGGUGAAGGAACUAGGCAAAAUGGUGCCGUAACUUCGGGAGAAGGCACGCUGGUGUGUAGGUGAAGUCCCUGCGGAUGGAGCUGAGACCAGUCGAAGAUACCAGCUGGCUGCAACUGUUUAUUAAAAACACAGCACUGUGCAAACACGAAAGUGGACGUAUACGGUGUGACGCCUGCCCGGUGCCGGAAGGUUAAUUGAUGGGGUUAUCCGUAAGGAGAAGCUCUUGAUCGAAGCCCCGGUAAACGGCGGCCGUAACUAUAACGGUCCUAAGGUAGCGAAAUUCCUUGUCGGGUAAGUUCCGACCUGCACGAAUGGCGUAAUGAUGGCCAGGCUGUCUCCACCCGAGACUCAGUGAAAUUGAACUCGCUGUGAAGAUGCAGUGUACCCGCGGCAAGACGGAAAGACCCCGUGAACCUUUACUAUAGCUUGACACUGAACAUUGAGCCUUGAUGUGUAGGAUAGGUGGGAGGCUUUGAAGCGUGGACGCCAGUCUGCGUGGAGCCAACCUUGAAAUACCACCCUUUAAUGUUUGAUGUUCUAACGUUGGCCCCUUAUCGGGGUUGCGGACAGUGUCUGGUGGGUAGUUUGACUGGGGCGGUCUCCUCCCAAAGCGUAACGGAGGAGCACGAAGGUUAGCUAAUCCUGGUCGGACAUCAGGAGGUUAGUGCAAUGGCAUAAGCUAGCUUGACUGCGAGCGUGACGGCGCGAGCAGGUGCGAAAGCAGGUCAUAGUGAUCCGGUGGUUCUGAAUGGAAGGGCCAUCGCUCAACGGAUAAAAGGUACUCCGGGGAUAACAGGCUGAUACCGCCCAAGAGUUCAUAUCGACGGCGGUGUUUGGCACCUCGAUGUCGGCUCAUCACAUCCUGGGGCUGAAGUAGGUCCCAAGGGUAUGGCUGUUCGCCAUUUAAAGUGGUACGCGAGCUGGGUUUAGAACGUCGUGAGACAGUUCGGUCCCUAUCUGCCGUGGGCGCUGGAGAAUUGAGGGGGGCUGCUCCUAGUACGAGAGGACCGGAGUGGACGCAUCACUGGUGUUCGGGUUGUCAUGCCAAUGGCACUGCCCGGUAGCUAAAUGCGGAAGAGAUAAGUGCUGAAAGCAUCUAAGCACGAAACUUGCCCCGAGAUGAGUUCUCCCUGAGACUUUAAGUCUCCUGAAGGAACGUUAAAGACGAUGACGUUGAUAGGCCGGGUGUGUAAGCGCAGCGAUGCGUUGAGCUAACCGGUACUAAUGAACCGUGAGGCUUAACCUU